AAUAAGUACAGACAUUAGUUUCCGUAUCCAACCUUAAUCGUUCGUCUUAUUUAAAAAAAUUUUAUGGUUAGUAUUUUUAUUGUUAUUAGAUUAUAGAACAUGAAUAAAACUUUAUACGCGACUUAGUUUUUUAUUUUUUUAAAAAAAAUCAAAUAAGACGAACGAUUAAAGUUAGUCACGAAAAACUCAUGGUUGCGCUUAUU
rfam:Oryza glumipatula chromosome 12, whole genome shotgun sequence.